GGGGGAUAACGUAGCGAAAGCUACGCUAAUACCGCAUACGAUCUAUGGAUGAANCGGGGGAUCGCAAGACCUCGCGCGAUUGGAGCGGCCGAUAUCAGAUUAGGUAGUUGGUGAGGUAAAGGCUCACCAAGCCGACGAUCUGUAGCUGGUCUGAGAGGACGACCAGCCACACUGGGACUGAGACACGGCCCAGACUCCUACGGGAGGCAGCAGUGGGGAAUUUUUGGACAAUGGGCGCAAGCCUGAUCCAGCAAUGCCGCGUGCAGGAUGAAGGCCUUCGGGUGUAAACUGCUUUUGUACGGAACGAAACGGUGAGCUCUAAUACAGUUUGCUAAUGACGGUACCGUAAGAAUAAGCACCGGCUAACUACGUG
rnacentral:rRNA from 1 species